rnacentral:rRNA from 1 species
GACGAACGCUGGCGGCGUGCUUAACACAUGCAAGUCGAACGGAAAGGCCCUGCUUUUGUGGGGUGCUCGAGUGGCGAACGGGUGAGUAACACGUGAGUAACCUGCCCUUGACUUUGGGAUAACUUCAGGAAACUGGGGCUAAUACCGGAUAGGAGCUCCUGCUGCAUGGUGGGGGUUGGAAAGUUUCGGCGGUUGGGGAUGGACUCGCGGCUUAUCAGCUUGUUGGUGGGGUAGUGGCUUACCAAGGCUUUGACGGGUAGCCGGCCUGAGAGGGUGACCGGCCACAUUGGGACUGAGAUACGGCCCAGACUCCUACGGGAGGCAGCAGUGGGGAAUAUUGCACAAUGGGCGGAAGCCUGAUGCAGCAACGCCGCGUGCGGGAUGACGGCCUUCGGGUUGUAAACCGCUUCCGCCUGUGACGAAGCGUGAGUGACGGUAAUGGGUAAAGAAGCACCGGCUAACUACGUGCCAGCAGCCGCGGUGAUACGUAGGGUGCGAGCGUUGUCCGGAUUUAUUGGGCGUAAAGGGCUCGUAGGUGGUUGAUCGCGUCGGAAGUGUAAUCUUGGGGCUUAACCCUGAGCGUGCUUUCGAUACGGGUUGACUUGAGGAAGGUAGGGGAGAAUGGAAUUCCUGGUGGAGCGGUGGAGUGCGCAGAUAUCAGGAGGAACACCAGUGGCGAAGGCGGUUCUCUGGGCCUUUCCUGACGCUGAGGAGCGAAAGCGUGGGGAGCGAACAGGCUUAGAUACCCUGGUAGUCCACGCUGUAAACGGUGGGUACUAGGUGUGGGGUCCAUUCCACGGGUUCCGUGCCGUAGCUAACGCUUUAAGUACCCCGCCUGGGGAGUACGGCCGCAAGGCUAAAACUCAAAGGAAUUGACGGGGCCCCGCACAAGCGGCGGAGCAUGCGGAUUAAUUCGAUGCAACGCGUAGAACCUUACCUGGGUUUGACAUGGAUCGGGAGUGCUCAGAGAUGGGUGUGCCUCUUUUGGGGUCGGUUCACAGGUGGUGCAUGCCUGUCGUCAGCUCGUGUCGUGAGAUGUUGGGUUAAGUCCCGCAACGAGCGCAACCCUUGUUCACUGUUGCCAGCACGUUAUGGUGGGGACUCAGUGGAGACCGCCGGGGUCAACUCGGAGGAAGGUGGGGAUGACGUCAAGUCAUCAUGCCCCUUAUGUCCAGGGCUUCACGCAUGCUACAAUGGCUGGUACAGAGAGUGGCGAGCCUGUGAGGGUGAGCGAAUCUCGGAAAGCCGGUCUCAGUUCGGAUUGGGGUCUGCAACUCGACCUCAUGAAGUCGGAGUCGCUAGUAAUCGCAGAUCAGCAACGCUGCGGUGAAUACGUUCCCGGG